rnacentral:rRNA from 1 species
AUUGAACGCUGGCGGCAGGCCUAACACAUGCAAGUCGAGCGGAUGAAGGGAGCUUGCUCCUGGCUUCAGCGGCGGACGGGUGAGUAAUGCCUAGGAAUCUGCCUGGUAGUGGGGGAUAACGUCCGGAAACGGGCGCUAAUACCGCAUACGUCCUGAGGGUGAAAGUGGGGGAUCUUCGGACCUCACGCUAUCAGAUGAGCCUAGGUCGGAUUAGCUAGUUGGUGGGGUAAAGGCCUACCAAGGCGACGAUCCGUAACUGGUCUGAGAGGAUGAUCAGACACACUGGAACUGAGACACGGUCCAGACUCCUACGGGAGGCAGCAGUGGGGAAUAUUGGACAAUGGGCGAAAGCCUGAUCCAGCCAUGCCGCGUGUGUGAAGAAGGUCUUCGGAUUGUAAAGCACUUUAAGUUGGGAGGAAGAGCAGUGAGUUAAUACCUUGCUGUUUUGACGGUACCAACAGAAUAAGCACCGGCUAACUUCGUG